rnacentral:lncRNA from 1 species
GGUCACUGCCUGGAAUCGAACUCGGAAUCUUGGGAAGAGAAUAAAGAAAAGAAAUGAAAUAAUAGUGAGACCAAUACAUUGAAACCCGUCCCCACCACCCAAGGAAAAACAAAAACAAAAACAACAGCAAGGAAAGACAACAACAUACAUUCCUCUACCAAGCAAUCAUAGAAAUAACUCUACUGUCAAAUACCACAAGAUACAGGACCCUAUGAAAAGAAAGAAAGAAAGAAAGAAAGAAAGAAAGAGAGAACGAAAAAAGGCGAAACUCCAAUACAAAUUAAAGCACACCUGCACAAACAUUUAGAUGUAUACAAUCUUGGGACAAGGCCAACAAUUUUGAGAGGUGGUAGAAGUCGAUGAACCGACCCCAAUACUUGACUGGUACUUGUUUUAUUGACUCCGAAAAGAUGAAAGGUAACGUCAACCUCAGUGGUAUUUGAAAUGGGAAAGUAAAGAAAGAUCCGGAAGAAAUGUCAGUAAAAAAUUUGUCCAACGUGGUAACGAUUCGGCAGCUUAUCGACUUAAAACGUUGUCGAAUUUUGUCACAAGUUCAGCAACUUAUUUUCUUGAUCUCAGAAAUAUGAAAGGCAAAGUCAACCUAGACUGCAUUUGAACGCAGAGCGUAGAGACUGAUAAAAUGUCGCUAAGCAUUCUGUCUGGCAGCGUAACGACUCCGCCAGUUCACUGCCUUACUUAUCGCAAAUAUAAUGGAUUCGGUAACUGUUGUUUUUGAGUUUUCAAAUUUGAUUCCCUUUCUAGGCAGGUUCGUUUUUCAUCACAUGUUGGUCGAUAAAAGAAAUAUGAAAAUAGUAUACAUGAUCUAAAUGCAUUUAUAA